rnacentral:misc_RNA from 1 species
GAAAUGCGAUAAGUAAUGUGAAUUGCAGAAUUCAGUGAAUCAUUGAAUCUUUGAACGCACCUUGCGCUCCUUGGUAUUCCUUGGAGCAUGCCUGUUUGAGUAUCAUGAAAUCUUCAAAGUAAAUCUUUUGUUAACUCAAUUGGUUUCUACUUUGGUAUUGGAGGUCUUUGCAGCUUCACACCUGCUCCUCUUUGUUCAUUAGCUGGAUCUCAGUGUUAUGCUUGGUUCCACUCGGCGUGAUAAGUUAUCUAUCGCUGAGGACACUGUAAAAGGUGGCCAAUGUAAAUGCAGAUGAACCGCUUCUAAUAGUCCAUUGACUUGGACAAUACUUUUAUGAUCUGAUCUCAAAUCAGGUAGGACUACCCGCUGAACUUAAGC